rnacentral:lncRNA from 1 species
AUUUUCAUCCAGUGGUAUGCAUUAAUUCAUCAAUAUUUUAUUAUAUAUUUUUAACCUUCCCUCUCCAUGCUUUUUUUCAGCAUAUCACGCCGAUGACGAGGUUACUCCAAAGAACUCAAAAUUGCAAGCACAACAUGAAGAGUCAAAAUGUUGGGCUGACAGCCUAAUAGGUGGCAUCCUCAUGUUCACCAAUGAGACUGACCCCCCUGAAGAUGCUGUCCUAUUUGCUCAUAUCUCACCAUUCAAACCCACCCCUGUUACUACCUUGCACACAUCUUAUGUUGAUUCUCAUUGGACUGAUGGUAGAUUACACAUUCACCCACCACCUGACGUUCUAAUCGAGAUUGACUCAUAUCUUCGGAACCACCCAACAAGUGACCUUAGCUGGUACGACAUAUUCCUUAUUACUGCUGCAAUAUAUCGUGCUACAUUUCAGUUGCCCUCAUGCUAUUUUUUUUCACAGCCCGUGGAUCACACAUGUGACCCCCCGUUAUUGCUCUCUUACUGGUAACACUAUCGUCGACCAGUUGUAUGGAUGCAAGCUUCUUGAUCACGAAGAUUUGUUCGAAACAUAUAUCAGCCAAGCCCUGCUAUUUAAAAUAAUCAGUUAUUCCAAACAUAUAUGUAACGAGGAGAUUUGUUCUAUCGAAACUUACGCUUUCAAUGUCUUCUUGAAACAUAUCAUCAUGUUUUCUAACCCUCUUCCCAAAAUUCCAUUACUCACAGUAGGAUACAGUGAUCGGAACUAGCAAGGACAUGAUGCUCUGAUUAUCGGUAAUGCCACCUUCUUCAAAUUGCUUUCUAGAUGAAUCUUUUUCGUGUGUAAUUGUUCAGCUUCGCAAUGCAGAUCAUCAUUUGGAUUGUAAAGCACCUGCAUCCCUUGAUUGAACAUGCC